UUCAGGUACCACCUGUAUUAUUACCUAAUGUUCAUUUAAAAUGCACUCGUUAAAUUUAUCUCUGUUUAUAUUCUACUAUAAAUGGAACAUCAGUAUCGCUAGCUGGUUAGGUUCUGUUGCCUGCUGAAGGCUCUGGGCCUGAGGCUUGCUCUGUUCAAGAAUAAGCAGCAAUAGUCAGAGAGGGGCCAGAGAGAACUGUAAUAGCCAUCUGCUCCUGAGCACUUGCCCUGUGCAGGCGCUGUGUUAUUAACUCUUUAACCCGUGGAACGACCCCAUUUAUGUUCUUAUCUGUGUAGUGCAGCCACAGAAGCUGAGGCCCAGUUGGCUGUUAGGUGACAUAGCAGGGAUUGAACCCAGGCAGUCUGGCUCCACAGAUAACCACCGCCGUCCUGAAACGUCCUCCUUGUAGUCAGAGAUUGAAAGAGAAUUGGAAAGGGGAUAACUUACUCGCUUUGUGAUUCUAUGUUGUUUAAUAUUGUGUCCAUGCAUGCCCACCCCACACUUUAGGAUAGGGCAGGUUAGAAGACUGUGAUGUGUGCCGUGCCAGAGGCUUUUCAGGCUGUUCUGUGAGUACUGUAUGUGCAUGUGUGUUGGUGGGGUGGAGGGGAAGGGGUCGCUGAUGACAAAAAACUCACUUGAUUUAAAUGUCAAUGUCAUGAGUGAACCAAGCAAAGAGAAGGGCUGAGGAAUGUCAUUUCAGUCAAGGCAAUAGUGAUCACUAGGUAUGGUUGCAGGAAGAAGGAUGUUAGUUAUUUGGUGUGUCUGGAGCUGAGAGCAGUGUUGGGGGCGUGACAGGAAGGCUCUGGGGAAGCCAGUCAGCUGUAAUGGGGAUGGCACAAGCUCUGGAGCCACAGAGACCUGGUGGAGUUCCAGUCCUGGCUCUUAAUAACCUUCUGAUCUCGGCAAGUUUCUUAAUUUCUUUGAAUUCAGUUUCUUUGGCAAAUAGGGAUAAAUAUUCCAAUCUGACUUGGUUAUUAUGAAGUAGAAGUGUAAGUGAAGUUAUUAUGACACAAAUGGUCCUAGUUUUGAUCAGUUACCUUUGUGUUUAGAAAGCUCAUCCUGGCAGCAGGGCAUCAAGACUGGGCAGAGGCAGAGGACCGGGAACACUUUGCCGUACUCCUGAUGUGAGACUGUGUGACCUGAUUUGAGACAGUUGGAGAGGGGAUGCUCUUUCAGCUGAGAAGGCCUGGAAGAAGUGACACCCCAGCACCACCACCUUAACUGAGCGAUCAAGAUUAACAUCGCCAACAGUGAUGCUGAUGCUGCUGGUCUCCCAAGCGUACUUUGAGUAGAACCUGAUGCUGGCCUUUCCCGCUGUGUGUUCAGUUUUUCCUUCCUCUCUCCCAGAGAGGGCAAAAUAUACUCUGCAGGACAAGUAUCUAAAAGUCGUAUGCCUCAAGUAAUUAUUAUGUCUUUUUAAAAACAGAUAACCUGAGUCUCAUUUACUUUAUCUUGCCUAAAAUCACAGCAUGAAUGAAUGGCCGGGUCAGAAUUUGAACCCAGAUCUGAAUGUGUUGCAUUAUACCUUACUGCCAAAUGCAGGCUGUGUAACCUUAGACCAGUCGUUCAGCUCUCCAUCUGUUUCCUGCCCGGCUCAAAAAGGAUAAUAUAGUGAAAGUGCCAAGCAAACUCCACCACUGUCUGUCCUUGUGAGGCCUUCCUUAUCAUUUCAGAUGUGGUCAGUGUUUGUCAAUGUGCCAAACAUUUCUGAUCUGGGAAGAGUAAGGACCCUCUCACCUCUAAUUGUGGACUGAGUAUCUGUGGAGAGAACGUGUAGUGUAUAAUGAAUUCCUCUGUGUUCUGGAAUAUGUUCCUCUGGUCUUUGUUUUAGAAAUUGCCCCCAUGGUGAUCAAAACCAUAAAAGCUUUCCAAAACAGAUUAUCAUGCCUAUCAGCUGAGCACACAUGGUGUGUGUGGGGACAGUUAGAGGAGGAGAAAACGAGGAACUAACACUUUAUUGACAGCAUCUCCUUGGUUCCAGGCCCUUUACACAUUUGAGAUAAUCUUUAUAGUUGCUCUAUGAAUUAUAUGAUAUUCCCAUUUUACAGACAAGGAGAGAGAGGCUCAGAGUCACCACCAAUAAGUGGUGGAGCUUGAAUUCUAACCGUGUUCCUUUUGACGCAAAGUUGUGCCCGCAGUGUGCUCCUGUUACCUCAGGAGGAAGAGUAAGUGUAGACACUUGGACACAGUGGUAUAUGCUUCCACCCGAUAGCUUCAGGUGUAGGACCACAGGCAGGGUGAGCCCCAUAGAAAGGUUAUGAAAACUUAAAAGAAAACUGGAGAAAACAAGACAAACUUGUGGGCACCCUCCUUGGGACUUCUGAGGGUGAAAACCCUGGUCAGGAACUGCUGCCACUUUUCCUCUGUCUACAACCGCUACAGGCCUCCACCCUUCACCCAAGUCAGCCACAUUCUCACACUCAUUCAUUCAGCAGCGAUUGAAGCAUCAGCUUGUGCUGGUCCCAGAAGUAAGAUAGACAUGGUUCGUAUCCUCACGGUACUAAAGGCUGCAGUGCAGGAAAGGGGCAGGGAGACUCGAAGAAUGGACAAAAAGCAAUGUGUAUUAAACAUACAGUUACCCCUUGAUCCAGCAGCUCCACUUCCAGGCAUAUACACACAGAAGACUGGAAAGCAGGGGAAUUGAUAUUUAUACACCAUUGUUCACAGCAGCAUUGUUCACAAUAGCUGAAAGGUGGAAGCAACCCAAAUGCCCAUCAGUGGAUGAAUGGGUAAACAAAAUGUGGUACAUCCAUACAAUGGAAUAUUAUUCAGCCUUAAAAGAGAGUGAAAUUCUGACACAUGCAACAAUAUGGAGGAACCUUGAGGACUUUAUGCUUAGUGAAAUAAGCCAGACACAAAAGGACAGAUAUUGUAUGAUUCCACUUACAUGAGGUACUAAGAGUAGUCAAAUCCACAGAAAGAGCAAAAGCAGUAGUUACCAGAGGCUGUGGGGAGGGGAGAAUGGAGAGUUGUUCUUUAAUGAGUGUUAAAUAGAGUUUCAGUUUGAGAAGAUGAAAAAGUUCUGGAGAGGGACAGUAGUGCUGGUCACAUGACGAGUGUCCUUAAUGCCACUAAACCAUUACGCUUAAAAAAUGUUACAGGGCAAAUUUUAUGUUAUGUAUAUUUUACCACAAUAAAAAAGGACUUUGUCUUGAAGAAAAUGAAAUGAGAAAUUAUGAAAACAGAUUCCUCUUAUAUUUAACCAAGAUAAGGUAAUACAAAUAGUCCU